rnacentral:misc_RNA from 1 species
GAAUUUUAUUAUUAUUAGGUAGGGGUGGCCACAGUCUGGUUUCGAACCGGAAUUGGCUCGGUCAAAACCGGACCGAAAUCAAAAUCGGCUUCAAAUCGGAUCGAAACUGCCCUUUUGCGAUUUGGUUUAGAUUUAUAUUUUUUUAGGAACUCUGAAUUAGUGAUUCAGAACCGGAUUGAACUGACGAUUUCAAACCGGAUUCAACCGACGAUUUAAAUAUAAAAAAAUUCAA